rnacentral:lncRNA from 1 species
GCGGUUCUGGGAGUUCUUCCGCCUCAACCCCUCAGGUUCCUCGUUCUGUAGAUGAACCCGCAUCUGGGGCUGGGCUUCGCCCGAUUUUUGCACCGGGCGCCAUUCCAUGCUCCCUGACUCUGGAUGAACUCCUUCUGAUAAGGGUUCAGUAUGGAGUUCCUCUGGAGUAUGACCUGGAGCUGCCUGGCCCCUCCGACCGGGCUAGCACUCCCCCACCCGAUCGUUUUUGCCUGUAUCAGGAGGCGUUCCGUGCC